AACGCGAAGAACCUUACCUGGGUUAAAUCAAAGGUGCAAGGCGCAGAGAUGCGUCCCCCGGGCAACCGGCGCUUUUGAAGGUGCUGCAUGGCUGUCGUCAGCUCGUGUCGUGAGAUGUUGGGUUAAGUCCCGCAACGAGCGCAACCCUUACCACUAGUUGCCAGCAUUAAGUUGGGCACUCUAGCGGAACUGCCGGUGAUAAACCGGAGGAAGGUGGGGAUGACGUCAAGUCAUCAUGGCCUUUAUGUCCAGGGCUACACACGUGCUACAAUGGCCGGUACAAACUGCUGCAAACUCGCGAGAGGGAGCCAAUCGGAAAAAACCGGUCUCAGUUCGGAUUGGAGUCUGCAACUCGACUCCAUGAAGUUGGAAUCGCUAGUAAUCGCAGAUCAGCACGCUGCGGUGAAUACGUUCCCGGGUCUUGUACACACCG
rnacentral:rRNA from 1 species